GACGGAGGAUGCAAGCGUUAUCCGGAAUUAUUGGGCGUAAAGCGUCCGCAGGUGGCCAUUCAAGUCUGUUGUCAAAGAGCGAGGCUCAACCUUGUAAAGGCAAUGGAAACUGAAUAGCUAGAGUGCGGUAGGGGUAGAGGGAAUUCCCGGUGUAGCGGUGAAAUGCGUAGAUAUCGGGAAGAACACCAGUGGCGAAAGCGCUCUACUGGGCCUGCACUGACACUGAGGGACGAAAGCUAGGGGAGCGAAAGGG
rnacentral:rRNA from 1 species